UCAGAAGUGCGAAUGCUGACAUAAGUAACGAUAAAGCGGGUGAAAAGCCCGCUCGCCGGAAGACCAAGGGUUCCUGUCCAACGUUAAUCGGGGCAGGGUGAGUCGACCCCUAAGGCGAGGCCGAAAGGCGUAGUCGAUGGGAAACGGGUUAAUAUUCCCGUACUUGGUGUUACUGCGAAGGGGGGACGGAGAAGGCUAUGUUGGCCGGGCGACGGUUGUCCCGGUUUAAGCGUGUAGGUGUGUGUUCCAGGUAAAUCCGGUUCACUUUAACACUGAGGCGUGACGACGAGGCACUACGGUGCUGAAGCAACAAAUGCCCUGCUUCCAGGAAAAGCCUCUAAGCAUCAGGUAACAUCAAAUCGUACCCCAAACCGACACAGGUGGUCAGGUAGAGAAUACCAAGGCGCUUGAGAGAACUCGGGUGAAGGAACUAGGCAAAAUGGUGCCGUAACUUCGGGAGAAGGCACGCUGACACGUAGGUGAAGUGAUUUACUCACGGAGCUGAAGUCAGUCGAAGAUACCAGCUGGCUGCAACUGUUUAUUAAAAACACAGCACUGUGCAAACACGAAAGUGGACGUAUACGGUGUGACGCCUGCCCGGUGCCGGAAGGUUAAUUGAUGGGGUCAGCGCAAGCGAAGCUCCUGAUCGAAGCCCCGGUAAACGGCGGCCGUAACUAUAACGGUCCUAAGGUAGCGAAAUUCCUUGUCGGGUAAGUUCCGACCUGCACGAAUGGCGUAAUGAUGGCCAGGCUGUCUCCACCCGAGACUCAGUGAAAUUGAACUCGCUGUGAAGAUGCAGUGUACCCGCGGCAAGACGGAAAGACCCCGUGAACCUUUACUAUAGCUUGACACUGAACAUUGAGCCUUGAUGUGUAGGAUAGGUGGGAGGCUUUGAAGUGUGGACGCCAGUCUGCAUGGAGCCGACCUUGAAAUACCACCCUUUAAUGUUUGAUGUUCUAACGUGGACCCGUUACCCGGGUUGCGGACAGUGUCUGGUGGGUAGUUUGACUGGGGCGGUCUCCUCCUAAAGAGUAACGGAGGAGCACGAAGGUUGGCUAAUCCUGGUCGGACAUCAGGAGGUUAGUGCAAUGGCAUAAGCCAGCUUGACUGCGAGCGUGACGGCGCGAGCAGGUGCGAAAGCAGGUCAUAGUGAUCCGGUGGUUCUGAAUGGAAGGGCCAUCGCUCAACGGAUAAAAGGUACUCCGGGGAUAACAGGCUGAUACCGCCCAAGAGUUCAUAUCGACGGCGGUGUUUGGCACCUCGAUGUCGGCUCAUCACAUCCUGGGGCUGAAGUAGGUCCCAAGGGUAUGGCUGUUCGCCAUUUAAAGUGGUACGCGAGCUGGGUUUAGAACGUCGUGAGACAGUUCGGUCCCUAUCUGCCGUGGGCGCUGGAGAACUGAGGGGGGCUGCUCCUAGUACGAGAGGACCGGAGUGGACGCAUCACUGGUGUUCGGGUUGUCAUGCCAAUGGCACUGCCCGGUAGCUAAAUGCGGAAGAGAUAAGUGCUGAAAGCAUCUAAGCACGAAACUUGCCCCGAGAUGAGUUCUCCCUGAGACUUAGAGUCUCCUGAAGGAACGUUGAAGACGACGACGUUGAUAGGCCGGGUGUGUAAGCGCAGCGAUGCGUUGAGCUAACCGGUACUAAUGAACCGUGAGGCUUAACCUUAC
rnacentral:rRNA from 1 species